GACGAACGCUGGCGGCGUGCUUAACACAUGCAAGUCGAACGCGCCUGUCCUCUGGGUUUCUGGGGGGUGGGUGAGUGGCGAACGGGUGAGUAACACGUGAGUAACCUGCCCCCUUCUUCGGGAUAACGGUCUGAAAGGGCUGCUAAUACCGGGUAUUCACUGGUCUCCGCAUGGGGUCUGGUGGAAAGGUUUUUUUCUGGUGGGGGAUGGGCUCGCGGCCUAUCAGCUUGUUGGUGGGGUGAUGGCCCACCAAGGCUUUGACGGGUAGCCGGCCUGAGAGGGUGACCGGUCACAUUGGGACUGAGAUACGGCCCAGACUCCUACGGGAGGCAGCAGUGGGGAAUAUUGCACAAUGGGCGCAAGACUGAUGCAGCGACGCCGCGUGAGGGAUGGAGGCCGUCGGGUUGUGAACCUCUUUCGCCCGUGGUCAAGCCGCGACGUGGGUCGUGGUGAGGGUAGUGGGUAAAGAAGCGCCGGCUAACUACGUG
rnacentral:rRNA from 1 species